CGUUAACUCUCGCCCUGCUGUUUCCUCCCUCGGCCGCUCUGGGUUACUGUCAGUUUGAAAGGUGCUCUGCUCUUCCCCCUUGCGAGCCACUUCCUGGAAGGACUCUGAACCCUGUCCGGGGCCAUGUGCUUCACUGGGUAAUCCCACCAGUCACUCAUUGUCAGAGCUCCUGCCAGCGCCGGACUCCUCGGCCACACCACCGAAACCAGAGCGCCCUGGGGCAUGGCUGGGCUGCGCUUGCUGCCUGCAGCGAGUGCUGAGCGCACGGCAGCUGGCUGGGGCCGGGCUAGAGACGGACACCUGUGCAAUCCGCCCGGGACUCCCUGCCCACAGGGCGGACUAACCCCCCUGCUGCAGCCCGGGUAGGGGGGCGCGCUAUUUCCGACACGCAGCCAGCCCCGUUAUUCAGCCGAGGGGAAGAGCCGCCAGGCAGCGACCCCUACCGCCCGCAGCCGGCCAGCGCACCCCUGCUCCAACCCUCUGGUCCCCCCCUCCAGUCCGCCCACAAUCACUUCAGCCGCCGAGUCCUGAGGGAGGCGGCAGGAACCAGCCAUCCCCAGCUGCAGCAGAAGCAGCAGCCCGCGCACACUGAAACCAGCCCGAGUGAUCUGUCAGCCUGUUGGCGACAAACCUGUGGCUUGUGCGGUUUCCAGCACCCAGGAAAAGCACUAGAGAGGAAACAGAAGAGCAAAGGAACGUGCAGCCUGUUUCUGUCCCAGCUUGUUGCUCGGAUACAAAGAGGCAAACACCCUGCUUCUCCGUUUGGGGCCCUUCCCUCCAAAGCCAUUUCUUGCACCUGAGUGCUUCUUACUAGAAAGAAGCACAAAAUAAAGAGCUGACGUUGCAGGCCCAGAGAGGAGGGGCAAACUAGCGGCAUAAGUAACCGUCUGUUUGCUUAUAAAUAUUAAACACCAGGCUUCUCUAGUUAUAUUUAAAUUAAAAAAAAACCUCAACUGAAACAAUCAUUACUGAGUUGUCAUCUUAUGUGUAAAUAACCAUAUUUAAACAUGUUGGUGGACAACCCAUGUUAUAAUACUAUUUAUCCUUGGCUGCAUGGACAAAAAAAUACCCACAGCAUGGUAAAACAUAGUAGAGAGCCAUGUUUUAGCCAUGGCAGAAAUGUAGGAUAAAGCAUGGCUCUCUGAAAUGUUUAUAACAUUUUCCAUCCACAUAAGUAAUAUAUUAUAAACCAUAUUAUAAUGUGUUUUGCCCCAUGGAUGGGCCUGGUUCUCAUUUAUACUCAACACUGCUCUGACAGUGCAUAGGAAUCUUAAAGUAGAUGGAAAUUACAUGUGUGCUCAUGUUAAAGUCCCUUUAUUCUGCCAGAAUGGUAACCUUAGUGUAACUGACAAUCAGUCCUGGAUAUCUCUGGAGAAUACAGGUACUAACAACAGGGUUCUUGCAGGAAUAUAUUUCAUCCCACCAAGGUAACUCGGGUGAGUUGGGUUGUCGUUUAUCAGAGUCCUCAGAAUGUUAGAUUUAGACUCUCAGCAGUGGGAUCCACCUGUAGAAUGUGUCCAGUCACUGCAUCUCUGUAACUGUUGCCAGAACUCAUCAUAAGUCCUUCCGGUUUGGAUGAGUGUAAUCAUCACCAUUUACAUUUCCAGUGUUCCCAUUUGCCAGUAUGCACAGUGUGGUUGGGGUUGCAAUGAGGAUCUGCAGUUGGGGAGCUGGACUUUGUUUCAGAUUUAAUGUAUCUAGUAGGUGUAUUUUUGCUUGUGGGUGUUUAUAUAAAUAAAUAUAAAGACUUUGUUAUUUCAAAAGUCAGGAGAAUCCAAAUGAAAACUAAAACACACUUUAACAAAUAAAAAAAAUCAGUAAGCUCCUUUCAACACCAUCAGUUCUGUUAAACGAGUAAAGAAACUUUCAUUGUUAAGAGGGAGAUUUAGGUUUUGUUUAUUAUUCAUUAGGAAGUUUGUAUUCUCUUUGGCACUGUUUGGGAGUAUGAAAUGGCCCUGAGGAAUGUGUGCCCUCUCUUACCUGUCUGCGUUGAGGCCAGGCCAUGCUGCUUGAAACCACUUAUUUAGUUCAGUGUGUAACUGAUUUGUCCUAUCUGCUUGUUUUUUCCCUAUGGAGAGAAUAUAAAAGGAGGUAGGGGGAAGAUACAUAUGCUUUCAUGAAUAUCAAAGCAGUUCCAUUGACCUAUUUAGGGCCUAUGUUCUCCCCUUCAUUAAGGCAACCAGAGGGAGCAGAAAGUGGCAGAACUGGGUGGGGCCUACAGAAGAGGGGAAGGAUGGGGUGAGUCAGCAGCUAGGGUUGAAGCUCUGAAGAAUAGCAAGCCAGGGUAGCAUCAUUCUAUAGUAUUUCCUUAUCAGCCCAGCAGAGAUCUAUAUAAGUCUUAAGCUGCUGCAAGCAAUAUUAAUACCAGCUUCAUGCUUGCAACCUUGUUUGCACAGGCACAAAGUGCUGUGAAAAGAGCAAAUGGCAGCACAGCUUGCACAGGAAGAAGAACCAGCCAUCAACAGUGAGAAGAUGACUCCCCAUAGACCCACAGGGUACAUCUACAUGACAAAAAAAAAAUCCUGCGGCAGCAUACCUCAGAACUUGGGUUUACAGACUUGGGCUCGUGCUACAGAUAAAAAUAGCAUUGUAGACAUUCCCACUCAGGCUCUGAGACCCAUCCUCUUUGUCAGGUUUCAGAGGGCAAGUUCACAGCCCAAUAGGAACAUCUUCAUGGCUGUUUUUAGUUUAGCGCCGAAGCACAAGGCCUGCAAGCCCAAGUCUGUAGACUUGGGCUCUGAGACUUGCAGCAGUGGGUGAUUUUUUGCAGCGUAGACACACCCACAGUUUCCUCUCCCCACAGAUCUCUAGAAUCCCCACAGUUUAAAGGCAACACUGCUUCUCUGCAGCCUCCCACCUCAAAUCUCCCACUUCUGAGGGUAUCUAUAUACACACACACACACACUCUCUCUCUCUCUCCUGACCCGGAACUGAAAGUGUAUUAAGCCUGAGCUAGCUUAUCCAGCUCGGGGGUGUAAGUUAGAGGAAGAGCUCCACUGUAACUUGGGUUGGAACCCACCCACUUUGUAGUAAGGAUUCAGGCUAACAAGUGCUGCUAGUCUUCCAAUGCCUUCCCAUUCCCACCCCCUCCAAAGGAUAGACAAGUUCUACAGCAGUUAACAAUUGACUGGGAAAGAAUCCUAGAGUGUCUCAGCAAAAAGAAUCAUGGGAUAUGCCCCCAGACACACAUACGUGAUGCAGAAACAAUGAGGACGCAGUAAUGCAGUUAGCACUUAGCAAUGGGGAUGCUCACCCCCAUGCUAGACUAACCCUUGUGCUCAGAUCUAGGCGUCAAGCACCCAGGUUAACUGUGCAGGAUAGGCAUAACCUCAGGGGAGCAUAAGGGAACUGUUAGGCGAACCUUUCAGAAUUUUCGUGGUCUUCUAUUCUGCAUCUACAAAUAUGCAUAAAGGACAAGAUUUGGAGAGUACACACCACUAGAAACUAUUUGACACACAAAGUGAAAUCCUGGUUCCAUUGACUUCAAGGGGGUCAAGCUUUCACCUACACUACCCUGUCAUUGGAAAUACAAAUAUGGAAUGUGUAUUAUAGGUAAUUGCUGGUUUUGAUUGUAAUCAUGAAGACUCACUGUACUUUAACAUGUCUGAUUGAAGUUUCAUUUUAUGACUAAAUGUUAUAUUAAAUAUAUAUAUUAAACUUAUUUUAAAUG